UACGUAGGGGGCAAGCGUUGUCCGGAUUUAUUGGGCGUAAAGAGCGUGUAGGCGGUUUGGUAGGUCCGCUGUGAAAACUCGAGGCUCAACCUCGAGACGCCGGUGGAAACCAUCAGGCUAGAGUCCGGAAGAGGAGAGUGGAAUUCCUGGUGUAGCGGUGAAAUGCGUAGAUAUCAGGAGGAACACCGGUGGCGAAGGCGGGUCUCUGGGCCGUUACUGACGCUGGAGGCACGAAAGCAUGGGGAGCAAAAGGG
rnacentral:rRNA from 1 species